rnacentral:rRNA from 1 species
GUGGGGAUGGACGUCAAGUCCUCAUGGCCUUUAUGCCCAGGGCGUACACACGUGCUACAAUGGGUGGUACAAAGAGAUGCAAUCUCGCAAGAGCAAGCAAACCUCAAAAGCCAUCCUCAGUUCGGAUUGGAGUCUGCAACUCGACUCCAUGAAGUCGGAAUCGCUAGUAAUCGCGGAUCAGCACGCCGCGGUGAAUUACCGGUUCCCGGGCCUU